rnacentral:lncRNA from 1 species
ACUUCUCCAAGCUCCGGCCUCAGCUAACCUCCUCUCCAACUCCUGUGCUUUCUCCUUAUUCAAAACACUCCAUCUAAUCCGCGGUUGUCCCCGAGCACCCCUCCUCUUCCUCUUCACCCAGAGACCGACAUCUAUUAUUAGGAGUCUAUGAAGAGUCGGAAGGUACUCCCCCGGAAUAACCUUGCAGUCCUUGCACAUACCC